AUGGCAAGCUGGAGUGCCUCUACCAUGGCUGGCAGUUCGACGGCCAGGGCAAGUGCGUCAAGCUCCCACAGCUGCCUGAGGGCGCCAAGAUCCCGCGGAACGCGUGCGCGCGCAACUAUGAGGUGCGGGACUCGCAGGGGGUGGUGUGGGUGUGGAUGUCACCGGCGAGCCCGCCGGACACGAAGAAGCUGCCGUGCUUCGAGCCGUACGCGCGAGCGGGGUUCACGGACCUGUCCACGGUGCACGAGCUCCCCUACGACCACUCCAUCCUGCUGGAGAACCUCAUGGACCCGGCGCACGUGCCCAUCUCGCACGACCGCACCGAAUGGACAACCAAGUGGGAGGACGCGCAGCCGCUGGUCUUCGAGGUCGCCGAGCGCACCGCCCGGGGCUUCGCCGGCCACUGGUGGCGCGAGCGCGCGCCGCACCUCCGCAACCUGCUCCGCUUCGAGGCGCCCUGCGUGCUCACCAACACGCUCGAGUUCGUGGACAAGGACGGCAGGGAGCAGUGCUUCUCGGCGCAGUUCCUGUGCCGGCCGGCGGGGCAGGGGAAGUCGAUGCUGCUCGUCCGGUUCGGGUCCACGACGAGGUCGCCGCUGUUGA
rnacentral:rRNA from 1 species